rnacentral:ribozyme from 1 species
AGUCGUUCAAGCGACUAAAAACAGCCCUUUAAGCUUGAAGCGUUAACCGUCCAAGUGGCGGUUAGGUAGGG